rnacentral:ncRNA from 1 species
UGAGAAGCGUUGAUUAGGAAAGUAUUUUACGUACGCGGUUUUAGGGACUCUCCGAUAAUGGAAAGGUGAGCGAACGAACGUAAAAGAAAAUCACCUUUGAGCUGCAGUUCGAAAUCAAAGCGAUAUUAGAUUCUGCUGGGGACUCCCAUUAUCGAGUGUGCAAAUUCUUAUAAAGAGUUUGUAAGAGGCAUCUUUUUCAUAGUAGGUGCAAUUUAAAGGUGGUACCGCGUUUUAACGCCCUUUGA